rnacentral:rRNA from 1 species
UACAGAGGACCCGAGCGUUGUUCGGAUUCACUGGGCGUAAAGGGUGCGUAGGUGGCCUGUUAAGUUUGAUGUGAAAGCUCAGGGCUUAACCCUGAAAUGGCAUUGAAUACUAGCGUGCUGGAGGUUUGGAGGGGGGACUGGAAUUCUCGGUGUAGCGGUGAAAUGCUUAGAUAUGACAUAGAACACCAAUUGCGAAGGCAGCUCGCUACACGAAUAUUGACUCUGAGGCACGAAAGCGUGGGGAUCAAACAGG